CCUACGGGGGGCAGCAGUGAGGAAUAUUGGUCAAUGGGCUUACGCCUGAACCAGCCAAGUCGCGUGAGGGAAGACUGCCCUAUGGGUUGUAAACCUCUUUUGUCAGGGAGCAACGCCGGCUACGUGUAGCCGGACUGAGAGUACCUGAAGAAAAAGCAUCGGCUAACUCCGUGCCAGCAGCCGCGGUAAUACGGAGGAUGCGAGCGUUAUCCGGAUUGAUUGGGUUUAAAGGGUGCGUAGGCGGAAUGCCAAGUCAGCGGUAAAAGCGCUGGGCUCAACCUCGCUCCGCCGUUGAAACUGGCGUUCUUGAGUGGGCGAGAAGUAGGCGGAAUGCGUGGUGUAGCGGUGAAAUGCAUAGAUAUCACGCAGAACGUCGAUUGCGAAGGCAGCAUACCGGCGCCCAAAUGACGCUGAAGCACGAAAGCGUGGGUAUCGAACAGGAGUAGAGACCCGAGUAGUC
rnacentral:rRNA from 1 species